rnacentral:rRNA from 1 species
GAUGAACGCUGGCGGCGUGCCUAAUACAUGCCAGUCGAGCGAACGGACGAGAAGCUUGCUUCUCUGAUGUUAGCGGCGGACGGGUGAGUAACACGUGGAUAACCUACCUAUAAGACUGGGAUAACUUCGGGAAACCGGAGCUAAUACCGGAUAAUAUUUUGAACCGCAUGGUUCAAAAGUGGAAGACGGUCUUGCUGUCACUUAUAGAUGGAUCCGCGCUGCAUUAGCUAGUUGGUAAGGUAACGGCUUACCAAGGCAACGAUGCAUAGCCGACCUGAGAGGGUGAUCGGCCACACUGGAACUGAGACACGGUCCAGACUCCUACGGGAGGCAGCAGUAGGGAAUCUUCCGCAAUGGGCGAAAGCCUGACGGAGCAACGCCGCGUGAGUGAUGAAGGUCUUCGGAUCGUAAAACUCUGUUAUUAGGGAAGAACAUAUGUGUAAGUAACUGUGCACAUCUUGACGGUACCUAAUCAGAAAGCCACGGCUAACUACGUG